rnacentral:misc_RNA from 1 species
GAUGAAGAACGCAGCGAAAUGCGAUAAGUAAUGUGAAUUGCAGAAUUCAGUGAAUCAUCGAAUCUUUGAACGCACAUUGCGCCCGCCAGUAUUCUGGCGGGCAUGCCUGUUCGAGCGUCAUUUCAACCCUCAAGCCCCCGGCUUGUGUUGGGGACCUGCGGCUGCCGCAGGCCCUGAAAACCAGUGGCGGGCUCGCUAGUCACUCCGAGCGUAGUAAUACAUCUCGCUCAGGGCGUGCUGCGGGUUCCGGCCGUUAAAAAGCCUUAUUUACCCAAGGUUGACCUCGGAUCAGGUAGGAAGACCCGCUGAACUUAAGCAUAUCAUAAGCGGAGGA